UACGUAGGGACCAAGCGUUGUUCGGAUUUACUGGGCGUAAAGGGCGCGUAGGCGGCGCGGUAAGUCACUUGUGAAAUCUCUGAGCUUAACUCAGAACGGCCAAGUGAUACUGCAGUGCUAGAGUGUGGAAGGGGCAAUCGGAAUUCUUGGUGUAGCGGUGAAAUGCGUAGAUAUCAAGAGGAACACCGGUGGCGAAGGCGGAUCUCUGGGCCAUUACUGACGUGAGGAGCGAAAAGCGUGGGGGAGCGAAACAGG
rnacentral:rRNA from 1 species